UAGGGAAUCUUCGGCAAUGGACGAAAGUCUGACCGAGCAACGCCGCGUGAGUGAAGAAGGUUUUCGGAUCGUAAAACUCUGUUGUUAGAGAAGAACAAGGACGUUAGUAACUGAACGUCCCCUGACGGUAUCUAACCAGAAAGCCACGGCUAACUACGUGCCAGCAGCCGCGGUAAUACGUAGGUGGCAAGCGUUGUCCGGAUUUAUUGGGCGUAAAGCGAGCGAAGGCGGUUUCUUAAGUCUGAUGUGAAAGCCCCCGGCUCAACCGGGGAGGGUCAUUGGAAACUGGGAGACUUGGGUGCAGAAGGGGAGGGUGGAAUUCCGUGUGUAGCGGUGAAAUGCGUAGAUAUAUGGAGGAACACCAGUGGCGAAGGCGGCUCUCUGGUCUGUAACUGACGCUGGGGCUCGAAAGCGUGGGGAGCAAACAGG
rnacentral:rRNA from 1 species